rnacentral:rRNA from 1 species
UGCAAGGGGCAGCUACCAUGCAGUCGAGCGCGCCCUUCGGGGUGAGCGGCGGACGGGUGAGUAACGCGUGGGAAUAUGCCCUUCUCUACGGAAUAGUCCCGGGAAACUGGGGGUAAUACCGUAUACGCCCUUCGGGGGAAAGAUUUAUCGGAGAAGGAUUAGCCCGCGUUGGAUUAGCUAGUUGGCGGGGUAAAGGCCCACCAAGGCGACGAUCCGUAGCUGGUCUGAGAGGAUGAUCAGCCACACUGGGACUGAGACACGGCCCAGACUCCUACGGGAGGCAGCAGUGGGGAAUAUUGGACAAUGGGCGCAAGCCUGAUCCAGCAAUGCCGCGUGGGUGAAGAAGGCCUUCGGGUUGUAAAGCCCUUUUGUACGGGAAGAAAUCAUCCGGGUUAAUACCCUGGGUGGAUGACGGUACCGUAAGAAUAAGCACCGGCUAACUUCGUGCCAGCAGCCGCGGUAA